CAACCCUCAAGCUCUGCUUGGUAUUGGGUGCCACCUAACGUAGUGCAUCUUAAAAUCAGUGGCAGUGCCAUCUGGCUUCCAAGUGUAGUAAUAUUUUCUUGCUUUGGAAGUUUGGAUGCGUGCUUGCCAACAACCCUCUAAUCUAUCAAA
rnacentral:misc_RNA from 1 species